AUCUCCGCACGUUUCCCACAUAAUAUAUUCAUGUUCAUUUAUUUUUGAUCACCUCGACUUGCUCCCGUCUCCAUUCCCUGCCCGGGCGCCCGGCUUGUUCUUUGGUUCCGAAUCGCGCUCACAUGACUUGAGCGCACAGAAGACGGUCGGAAAUUCGUACGCCUCGCUUUGCGGAUGAAGGAAGAUUCCUGUCAGCUGAGGAGUCAGACUUUCGAAACAAAUUCAGACGGAGGGCCUCGAAGAUAAAGGUUGUGUCGCGAUCCCAGAUUUAUGAUUUAAUUGUCAAUAUGUUCUGGCGGUGGAAUGCACGCCCCGCUUCAUCCAUCCCCGGAAUGAGCCAGUGCUAGUGUCAGCUAGGAGGAACAAGGACAGGCAUGUUUUUUAAAAAAUAAAUAAAAAAUAAUAAUAAAUAAAAAAAAAAAAAAACCCACAGUAAAACGUCCUACACUGGUAUUUAUCCUCAAGGAUGAAAAGAUCGCCCCAUCUCCAAGAGGACACAGAGCCAUCUGUCAGGUUAGAGCUAAAUUAAUUUCCGUUAGAGUGCUGGUGCUUUGAAGAUAAUAUAGAUUAAAUCGGAAGUCGUUUGAUAGGGGAGAUCCCUGCUGGGCGGACCGACACUCUCUAAAAAACUUUUAAUUAUUUAAUGUCGUUUUAGAGGAUGCUGCGAUUACCAAUGUGAUCAUGGUGUAAUAGAAGUUUUAUCUAUGCUGAAGGAGUGAAAACGACCGCAAGAGCUCGAUCUGACCCAGGUCCCUUAGCUUCGUUGCGCCAUAAAAGUGUUCGUCCACUUUGCGUCCUUCUGGCAAGCUCGUGCGGUGUCCAUGUUUUCCUCUGCUCUGGCCUUCAAGAUGCUAGCAGUGGUGAGAUGAAGAUCGAAUAAGCAGUAUUAUAUUAAUCUGCUCUUCCCACGAGUGUCAGCUCCAGGAUCAGACGAUCAAUAUUCUUUGCGAGAUCAGACGCUUGUCUUCAAGAGCGAUGUGUGUAAGGGUGCUCCUAUGGUGCUCCUAUUUUGGUCAGCCUCAGAGAGAUCAUGGCUCCUGACCCGGCUGCUCCAUAAGGAGUUACCACAGCAACAGCAGGCCAGGCUGGACUAGAGGCGGGUGAGGACGCUGGACAUGCUCAGAGUGUGUGUGUACCUGUGCCAUGUGGGUAUUUGCUAUGUCAACAAAGCCAUGCACUGCAAUGAAUAUGAUCUCUCUAAUCUAAGGUGCUGGGUUUACUGUCGAUUUGUAAUCUGUCAAUUUGUAAUCUUUAAUUCUCAUUAAUACUCUGUGUACCAAAUGCGGAAUCCAUUAUUUCCUGUGGAAAUGGGAUGGAUGUUUAAUUGAUUUCCCUGUCAAACGUUCUUGUACCUUUGUCCUACGGGCAUCUAACACUGUUUUGAAUGCGCAGCAGGGAGCGGGUGCCGGUGUCAUUAUGCACUUGACCAGGCUGAUGCAGACUCCUAAUGAACGAACUGCAGCCGCUCUGCCCUGAGAAAGAUGGAAUAACGGAUUAUGAGACCCAAUUUAUGACCCAUGAAGGGAAAGGAGACGAGUGGCUAUUAGAUAUGCCCGUCUGGCCUUUGUGUGGGCUGGCCUUGUCCUGGCAACCCAAUAGGAUGAUGGCACAUAACACUGCGUCAAUGAUCCCAGAAUGCAAUAUGUCCCCCACCACCACCUCUGGGCAUUCAGGCAAUGCAGAACACCAUUGCCCCCAGUAAAACAGAAUUAUGGAAUGACUGGAAUAACCAGUAAAAUAGGACUAUGGAGUACAUUUGAGAGAAAACUACCCCUGAGUCUCCUCCCACCUCCUCCCUGUUUAUACUCCCUAACCCCGCCUUUCUUUCCUCUGUGCCCCUCCUACCCCUCUGCCUCCUUGCUGCUGCCUGUUCUUCUUGCGUCUCUCCAUCUUUCAAUAGGGGGGCUGGCUUCUCCCACCUAUGGAAGCCACCAAGAGCUUCCGUCCAAACUUGACUGGAGAUCUCCUCCCUCCUCCUGGCUCUUACGUUCCUCGUUUUCACCUUGUUCUCUCCUCGCAAGUGUCCCAAUCAGAUACACAAUGCUGGAGAGGCGUCUCUCCAGGAAGGCUUCACAGAACCCAAAAGAGGAUAUCGUUUAAGGAUUACGGAUUAUGUGAUUCUUGUGCGUUACUCUAUUAGAUGAUGAUGUCUCUGCAUUGCAUUCACCUCCAUUCACUGUCCUCAUGUUGCGUUAGAUGACAGAUUAGGCUGCUCUAAUGUACACGGAUUAGGCUGCUCUAGUGUGCACGGAUUAGGCUGCUCUGUCUCAAAAUCUCCUCUGAGAUCUGUCAGGUCUGUGCGCUCCCCCAUCAGUACAGGUAAAGCCAUGCAUCGGUCCUCUGUGGAAACAUUUCUGUGUUCUGCGACAUUAGGACAGAUUAAAUCCGCCUAGCAAACAGAUUGUAAAAUGUCUAGCAGAUGUCUUACGAUUGCUUGUCAUAACCAAAGCCAGAAGCGAUGCUCAGUCUGUUACCUGCUUUAUUUUUUAUCACUUCCUCAUUUUUUCCCUUUCAUUCCUGCAUGUAUUGGCCUUUGCACCUACAAUAAAAUGUAACAUUUAACUAUGGAGGUUCAUCAAGGCAGACAGAUGUGUGGCAAACAGGCUGAUGGAUUAUGGUUUGUCUCAGUGACCUUUUUACCGGGUGCCCCCAAAGAAAGUCAUACGCAAUAAUCACAGCAGCAUGGAACGAGGAGGAAGAGCGGAAUGAAGAAGAACAGCUCUUGCCAAAACGAAGCCUGCGACUCGCGCUGCCAGGGACAGCCGCUCUCGACAGUGAUAAGCCGCACUGCUAUAACAGCUCUUGCGUUGUGUGGGGGAGUGCCUGGGUGAGCUAGUGUAUUGGGUCUAGCGGGACCCUAGGGGGGAGUUGGACUGCGUUGGUCCAUUGGGACGAGCUCGCCCCAUGAGAGAGUGAUCCAGGCCAGGAGGCCGAGCGGACUGUCGGGGCGACGAUGUACCAAGGGCGCGGCCCCACGAGGGGACUUGACACACCCACUGCUGAGGAGCAGUCACCGUGCAACACUUGCACUGGCCCAGACGGCAGGGAAGAUAAGACUCCGGCCGCAGAGAGAUGGUAGGGCGACCGGCAGGGUGACCGGCACGUCGCCCGUGCGCCUCAGACGCUGCGUGUGCUGUGGGGGUUGCCGGGAUGACCCACCCUUUGGGGGGGCCGAGUGAGGAUGCUGUGUGGCCACCUGGACGUGGGGAGUGAUCCAAUAGGAGAGCGGAAAGGAGCACAGCAAGGACUCCCAGAAUGCUGUGCUCCCCUCUGCAGAUUUAUGUAGUUUAAAUUCAAUGUUUUAUUAUUGUUGGAUUGUGUUUAUGUCUUGGUUUAGUUUUAUUGCACUUUUUUCAGUAUGACUAAUGUGAAAAUGCUCUAUCUUUUCACUUUUAGUGACCCAUACCCCAUUUUCCCCUGUUGUAGUUGCCCCUUCUGCUUGUUUGGUGUAUGUAAGUCUUUUCAAAGACUUUGCAUUGUAAAGAGCUGUUCCUUCAGCAGAAUGGCAUUGUCUGGUUUUUCUUCCACGCUGAUGCUACAAUAUAAAAGAAAGAAAUGUGGAGGGCCAGUUUGCUCACAGAUUGCUUACAAAAAUCAAUACCUCCACAAUAGUGAAAACGCAUGUGGUGUGUUCUCUCUUUGACCAGGGGGGGGGCUGCAAACAUAAAGAACAUUCAGCUGGGCACACUGAUGCAAAUCAAAGUAGAGUAAAUAAUAUGGCUGGCUGAGAGAAAGGUGCUGUAUUGUUAUUGUAAAGACUGCAGUACUCCUAAAACCCACAACGUCACUUGAGCAGUUGAGCUUGCACUUAUUAGCUUUGACCUCCUGGGUUCAUUUCUUAUGCUGCUGGCGUGUGUAAUUCGGACAUGUUUGACAGUGUGUGGCAUUUUAAGAAUUCACUGCUUGCUUUGGCCAUUUUCAGCAAGGGAUGAGCCAGGCAGAUGAGACAAAAGGCUAAGUUAGCCUUGAGGUGCAUAAGAGGACAGCUUUUUUUGCAAAUGGUUCUGAUAGCUUUGUUCCAUUAUUCUAAGGUGUAAUUAUAUACAGAUUUUUGUUUUGCUUUGUUGUUUUUUUUUAAGAAAACGACUUGUCCUGUACUCUUGUUGUUGAAUUAAGCUGGAAAAAAUCAAUACAGUCAUGGUAAGGUGAGUCUCAAA